rnacentral:rRNA from 1 species
UACAGAGGUCUCAAGCGUUGUUCGGAUUCAUUGGGCGUAAAGGGUGCGUAGGUGGCGCGGUAAGUCGGGUGUGAAAUCUCGGAGCUUAACUCCGAAAUUGCAUUCGAUACUGCCGUGCUCGAGGACUGGAGAGGAGACUGGAAUUCAUGGUGUAGCAGUGAAAUGCGUAGAGAUCAUGAGGAAGACCAGUGGCGAAGGCGGGUCUCGUGGACAGUUCCUGACACUGAGGCACGAAGGCCAGGGGAGCAAACGGG